rnacentral:rRNA from 1 species
GACGAACGCUGGCGGCGCGCCUAACACAUGCAAGUCGAACGAGCGAGAGAGAGCUUGCUUUCUCGAGCGAGUGGCGAACGGGUGAGUAACGCGUGAGGAACCUGCCUCAAAGAGGGGGACAACAGUUGGAAACGACUGCUAAUACCGCAUAAGCCCACGGCUCGGCAUCGAGCAGAGGGAAAAGGAGUGAUCCGCUUUGAGAUGGCCUCGCGUCCGAUUAGCUAGUUGGUGAGGUAACGGCCCACCAAGGCGACGAUCGGUAGCCGGACUGAGAGGUUGAACGGCCACAUUGGGACUGAGACACGGCCCAGACUCCUACGGGAGGCAGCAGUGGGGAAUAUUGCACAAUGGGGGAAACCCUGAUGCAGCGACGCCGCGUGGAGGAAGAAGGUUUUCGGAUUGUAAACUCCUGUUGUUGAGGAAGAUAAUGACGGUACUCAACAAGGAAGUGACGGCUAACUACGUGCCAGCGGCCGCGGUAAAACGUAAGUCACAAGCGUUGUCCGGAAUUACUGGGUGUAAAGGGAGCGCAGGCGGGAGAACAAGUUGGAAGUGAAAUCCAUGGGCUCAACCCAUGAACUGCUUUCUAAACUGUUUUUCUUGAGUAGUGCAGAAGUAGGCGGAAUUCCCGGUGUAGCGGUGGAAUGCGUAAAUAUCGGGGAGGAACACCAGUGGCGAAAGCGGCCUACUGGGCACCCACUGACGCUGAGGGCUCGAAAGUGUGGGGUGCAAACAGGAUAAGAUACCCUGGUAGUCCACACCGUAAACGAUGAUUAUUAGGUGUUGGAGGAUUGACCCCUUCAGUGCGGUAGUUAACACAAUAAGUAAUCCACCUGGGGAGUACGACCGCAAGGUUGAAACUCAAAGGAAUUGACGGGGGCCCGCACAAGCAGUGGAGUAUGUGGUUUAAUUCGACGCAACGCGAAGACCCUUACCAAGUCUUGACAUCCCUUGACGAACAUAGAAAUAUGUUUUCUUUUCGGAGCAAGGAGACAGGUGGUGCAUGGUUGUCGUCAGCUCGUGUCGUGAGAUGUUGGGUUAAGUCCCGCAACGAGCGCAACCCUUAUGGUCAGUUACUACGCAAGAGGACUCUGGCCAGACUGCCGUUGACAAAACGGAGGAAGGUGGGGAUGACGUCAACUCAUCAUGCCCUUUAUGACUUGGGCUACACACGUACUACAAUGGCGUUAAACAAAGAGAAGCAAGACCGCGAGGUGGAGCAAAACUCAGAAACAACGUCCCAGUUCGGACUGCAGGCUGCAACUCGCCUGCACGAAGUCGGAAUUGCUAGUAAUCGUGGAUCAGCAUGCCACGGUGAAUACGUUCCCGGGCCUU